AGGCCUCCGACCGCCUCCUUCUGCCACUUUGCCAACACAGGCAACAAGAAGAGCGGAGCACAGAAGAAGAGAGAGAGAGACACACGGGAAAGACGUAUGGGGGGGAGUUGCAGGGGUGAGCAGGGUGGGAGAAGGGAGGGGGCUCUGAGGGGCUGAGAAAAGGGGAAGGGAUACAGAGAGCAGAAUUGGUUAAGGCAAAGAAAAGAGAGAAAGGACAGGAUAUUGGACGGGGGACGAAAGGGGGAGGAAUUUAAAGAGGGUGAAGAGGGCAGCGGCAAAGAAACGGGAGAGUAAAGCUGCAGGAGAAGGAAAGAAAGAACAAAAGUAUCUACAGUGAGACCUAAAGGACUCUGUCCUCAAGGAGGAGUGGAGAAAAAGCUGAUCAAUGCAGCAUUUCUCCACCAACUGAGAGCACACAAAGCCAGGCAGCAGACAUUGAUGUAUGGGGUGGAGAGGUGGCACUGAACUGGCAGCUUCUGUGCAGCCAGCUGGAUAGAAAACAGCCCAAUUAGCACUGCUGGGCCAGACGGGGCCACGGCAGGUCACACCAACCUGGACGGGGCCCAGUGAAGUUGCAUUAGGAGACAAAUUGGAUGUCCGAGCUUCCGUGUGCAGAAUGAUGUACGCGCAGAGUUUGACACUGGAAGGAUGAUUUCACAUUCAUGCAGAAAGUGGAAAGUUUCUCUGUGCUCACUGAAAACCUGAUUUUUAAUGGGCCAACGAGCAUGAUUUGUGACACCACAAAUAGUUUUGGAAAUCAGUCCUGGUCCAGAAUUUAACGUACACUUACACUCACAUCCACUUUUUAAUGAGGUAGGAGGAGUAGAGGCCUUAGACACACAUUAUGGUUCCAAGCAGACUAUUUGUAAUUGUCGUAAUAUAUGUCUGGAGGGGAUCUUUAAAACAAAGUAAUCCACCAAAGAAAUGAAAAAAAAAAAAACAUUAUUACAGUCAGCUUGUUUAAGUCCUUUGAUUGCCACUGUUGCUUGUUGUGGUUAUUUCUCUGUAACCUGUCUUCCAGACAUAAUCACAUCUCCUGUUUUUCAUUCAGCCUGUCAGCUCAUUCCAUUAGCAUCGUGAAGACAGGACUCACCGUGCGCCGCUCAUUUCAUUUCCCCUUUCAUCAGCGACCUGGCGAGGCUUGCGUUCCCCAGUGCACCAUUAACUGGUGGGUCUUUUUGAAGAUUAAUAGUGUGCUGCAUUGUGUUACAGAUCUCUAUAGAUGGUUCUGAUGGUUCCGGUAGACAGAGGCGUACAGCAAGACAGACAGAGAGAGAGAGGAAGAUCUUAAUGUCUGAGGAAGGUCUUUGGAUGUUAGACGGUGAUAGAUGUUACAAGUCUGGAAAACUGUCUGCCUCACUUCUUCUGUUGCUGUCUGAGCCAAUUUCCUUCAACUCAGUGAUCCUUCAAAAACUGCACAAUAGAGGGCUUAUCUUUAAGUAAAAAGUAAUAUAAGGGCAGCCAGUAAGUCAGCAGCUACAACAGACCUCUGGGCUCUGGAAUAAUACUUACGUACAACUUUAAUAUUUCAUAUCACGGCGGAGAAUAGAAGAGUUAUAUGGAGCUGAUGAUUAACUUUGGCUUUAUGGUUUUCAUACUCUUAAUGUUUUGCUAUGUGUUCAUAAAUAGAGUUGGCCUACAUUAUGGCGCCACUGCCAGUCAUUUGUGCCAUCACCAUGGAGCUGUCACAUCAAUGAGGUCACGUCUCCUGUUUCCUCUGUAGGAGUAACACUGGUACAGUUUGAGGAGAAAAUACACAUUUACAGGAUACUCUACAUCCUUUAAUAUCCAUCUACAAAUAUAUACAUCUAUCCACAAUCACACACCAAUGCAACCCCUGACCCAUGAAUUAAUAUAAUGAAUUUACUGAGAAAGCCCAGGAUUGAUUGAUCAGCAGCUUCCAGUUUCCAGAAGCUGCAACAAUAUGAAUAGCAUUCCUGAACAGCUUCAAUUAUCAAUUGAUCUAAUGAUCAGUUGGUCGAGGCCUCCGUGCUGGAGCAGCCAAAACACCAUCCCAGAAAACACAGUGUGUGCCCUGGAGACACAGAGCUAAGACCAAAGAGGAGGAGAGAGGGAGAGGAUGGCUGGCUGACUGCAGUAAGUGGGACAGAGGAGCAGUCAGCGGGGCAGAUCGAGGCUAAUGCACCCAGGCAGCAAGUCUUUCCUGAUGUGCAAGUUCUGCCCGUCGUGUUUCUCCUCUGGCAGUGUGACCUAGGGAGCAGCAACUACCAUCACAUGUUGUAGCAUACAUCCCUGAGUCACAGCACAAAGGCCUGCAGCGGUGGGAGAGCACAGCCACGCACAAAACUCUCAGUGCACACAAGCGUGAAAGCAAAAACACCGAGCAUCCACAGCUUUAUUCCACACAGGGCUGCAACAUCCAUUCAUCCCACAAUAUGAUGCUGUUUAUUGAAGAAAAAAUAAAUAAAUACUCAAUGAUCCAACUUAUGUGAUGUCUAUAUGCACACUGAAGGCUGCGAUAUUACACGUGUCUUAAUGGAAACGCAAUCGGCGGGUCAUAUUAAAUCAUGUCAUGCAUUAAAUGAAGGCCCCAGAACAGCAAAACGCAUUGUUCCGGUCUAGUUGUGUUGCGCUUGUCAUGCCUGGCACGGCACGGAAGAGCGCGGGGAAGGAACUGCUGCUGGUCAAAUGAUACGAGCACAGAGGAGGGGAAGGAAAAAAAAGGAGAGGCGACUGUCCCAGAGUGG